rnacentral:rRNA from 1 species
UGGAAAGUCCGACGGUACAGGGUGAUAGUCCCGUACACCAAAAUGCACAGGUUGUGAACUCGAAGAGUAGGGCGGGACACGUGGUAUCCUGUCUGAAUAUGGGGGGACCAUCCUCCAAGGCUAAAUACUCCUGACUGACCGAUAGUGAACCAGUACCGUGAGGGAAAGGCGAAAAGAACCCCGGCGAGGGGAGUGAAAAAGAACCUGAAACCGUGUACGUACAAGCAGUGGGAGCCUCUUUAUGGGGUGACUGCGUACCUUUUGUAUAAUGGGUCAGCGACUUAUAUUCUGUAGCAAGGUUAACCGUAUAGGGGAGCCGAAGGGAAACCGAGUCUUAACUGGGCGUUAAGUUGCAGGGUAUAGACCCGAAACCCGGUGAUCUAGCCAUGGGCAGGUUGAAGGUUGGGUAACACUAACUGGAGGACCGAACCGACUAAUGUUGAAAAAUUAGCGGAUGACUUGUGGCUGGGGGUGAAAGGCCAAUCAAACCGGGAGAUAGCUGGUUCUCCCCGAAAGCUAUUUAGGUAGCGCCUCGUGAACUCAUCUUCGGGGGUAGAGCACUGUUUCGGCUAGGGGGUCAUCCCGACUUACCAACCCGAUGCAAACUGCGAAUACCGAAGAAUGUUAUCACGGGAGACACACGGCGGGUGCUAACGUCCGUCGUGAAGAGGGAAACAACCCAGACCGCCAGCUAAGGUCCCAAAGUCAUGGUUAAGUGGGAAACGAUGUGGGAAGGCACAGACAGCCAGGAUGUUGGCUUAGAAGCAGCCAUCAUUUAAAGAAAGCGUAAUAGCUCACUGGUCGAGUCGGCCUGCGCGGAAGAUGUAACGGGGCUAAACCAUGCACCGAAGCUGCGGCAGCGACACUAUGUGUUGUUGGGUAGGGGAGCGUUCUGUAAGCCGUUGAAGGUGUAUCGUGAGGUAUGCUGGAGGUAUCAGAAGUGCGAAUGCUGACAUAAGUAACGAUAAUGCGGGUGAAAAACCCGCACGCCGGAAGACCAAGGGUUCCUGUCCAACGUUAAUCGGGGCAGGGUGAGUCGACCCCUAAGGCGAGGCCGAAAGGCGUAGUCGAUGGGAAACAGGUUAAUAUUCCUGUACUUGGUGUUACUGCGAAGGGGGGACGGAGAAGGCUAUGUUAGCCGGGCGACGGUUGUCCCGGUUUAAGCAUGUAGGCGGAGGUUC